GGGCUCGUGGUUUAGUGGUAUAAUACUCCCUUAGCAUCUCGCAAGUACCUAGUGCUUCGAAUCUAACCUGGGAGUGGUCCGGGGUUCGAUUCCCCGCGAGUCCA